rnacentral:misc_RNA from 1 species
AAGUCGUAACAAGGUUUCCGUAGGUGAACCUGCGGAAGGAUCAUUAACACGUAUCCAACGUUAAAACAACCCCCGUGAACUUUCAGCUUGCUCCUGUAGCCCGUGAAAACAGCAAUCCCUGGUAAAUCAUUGUUGACCAGCUUUUGAGUCAGGGACCUCUGCCGAUUGUGAUAUUUUAUAGCUACGGUUGAGCGAUUGCAUCUAGUGACCUGGCAUCCCCAAGUAAUCAGUGUCUGAAAGUGUCAUUGAUUAUGUAAGGAUGGCGCAGUCACGAUCGCUACCGGGUCACCCUUUACGACAACACAGUACGAAUUGGCCGCGCGUGAAAUUCGCACGGCACCAAAAACCGAACAACUGUUAACAAUGGAUAUCUUGGUUCUC